CUUCCUCCGCCUCCCCUCGGCCCCUUCCCUCCUUUGCGCCCCGGGCCUGGCGGCUCCCCCUCCUCUCUCUCGGCAGCCCCCCUGGUCGCGCCGCCAGAGGCCGGCGGGCUCCCUUCAGCGGAGGUUUCGCCUUCCUUCCAGGCCGCACAUCCCUGAAGCCCCGCGCGAGGAGGAGAAGCGGGAGGACUCGGCGCUCGCCCAGGGACUUCCGCGGACUUCCGUCCUGGGCCGCCUGGAAAAGGCCUGAGGCGGCGGCAGGUGAGGCCAGAGGAGCGACUUGGCCCAGGACUGCCCGGUCCGGCCGAGCGGGGAUUCGAACCCUGCUCUCUCGGGCGCUCUACCCACUGCACCGCAGGGCUGUCCAGACAGACGGACGGAACUAUCCUCCACAGGCGGCCAUUGGGCGCUCAGGCUCCACAGAGGAACGUCGGAAGCUGCCUUAGAGCAGAGUGGGGAGCCAUUAUCCCAACUGGAUGAACUGAACUCCUUAAAAUGCUGCUACAGCAAUCGUGGAAGAUGGACACUUCUCUAACGCCAUCUCAAGAAGCCCUGCUCCCACUUUCAGAAGACAGACGUCUGGGCUCACUGAAGUUAUGGAGGUGUAUAACAAUUAUACAUAUGUAUACGUAUUGAGCUCUGGGCUGGAAAGCAGGAAGCAUUGUUGCUCUGGCAGAUCCCAAUAUGGAUCUGUGGCAGGAAUAGGUUUUUGCUCCAUGUGCAGGGUCCUGCUGGGAAGUGUAAGCUUAGUGCUCCACAGGGAAUGAUAUUGGGGCGGGGAGCUUGACAUUUUUGAAAGAAGUAGACCUUUUAAAGGGAAUUGCACAAAAACAGACCUGAAGUUUAUUUGUUAAAUGGGCUGUUCUUCUGUGUGAAAUAUUUUUAUCUGCAGCACUUGGGUUUGUGGGCAUAGCCAGGAUUUGGGGGGGGGGCAGAACCUCAGUUAGUUAAGUACUUUUUUUGUAACUCUCCAUUUGCAUAGUUUCACUUCUCUAGUUCUAGAGGGGAGUUUAUGGCCCCUUCUAAUGUGUGCAUAUAUGUGAGAAACAUUACAGUGAAAUGCAAAAUCUACAUGGAUCUUAAAGGACAAUUCCAAUUAUCAA